GAUGAACGCUGGCGGCGUGCCUAAUACAUGCAAGUCGAGCGAACAGACGAGGAGCUUGCUCCUCUGACGUUAGCGGCGGACGGGUGAGUAACACGUGGAUAACCUACCUAUAAGACUGGGAUAACUUCGGGAAACCGGAGCUAAUACCGGAUAAUAUAUUGAACCGCAUGGUUCAAUAGUGAAAGACGGUUUUGCUGUCACUUAUAGAUGGAUCCGCGCCGCAUUAGCUAGUUGGUAAGGUAACGGCUUACCAAGGCAACGAUGCGUAGCCGACCUGAGAGGGUGAUCGGCCACACUGGAACUGAGACACGGUCCAGACUCCGACGGGAGGCAGCAGUAGGGAAUCUUCCGCAAUGGGCGAAAGCGUGACGGAGCAACGCCGCGUGAGUGAUGAAGGUCUUCGGAUCGUAAAACUCUGUUAUUAGGGAAGAACAAAUGUGUAAGUAACUGUGCACGUCUUGACGGUACCUAAUCAGAAAGCCACGGCUAACUACGUG
rnacentral:rRNA from 1 species